UGGCUUGUCCGCUGGUAGCCACAGACAUGUUUAUUUGUGGUUUGCUGAGGGGCCUUUGCAGACGCUGUGUUUUCCCAGGCCCCCGUGGGCUCCCCAUGGCUGUGGCAUCCGGGGACACGUGGGGGGUGCCGUGAGAUGCCUGUGCCACCUGGCCGAUUGAUUCGAGAGGAAGGCUAAGGGCAGCACCCUGAGCCAGGAUCCUUGGGCGCCUGUGGACAUGAUAAACGUUGAAACGCUCAUAAACCUUUGAGAUGGCAAGUCCUGGCGGAGCAUCUACCCAUCAUCCAACAUACACUUCCGAGCGUCAGACAGCACAGGGCGUGCUUACACAGACCUGGAUGCGAUCGCCUUCUACACACCCGGCCCACGCGGCGCAGCGCCUUCUCCUGGGCUGCAAACCUGCGCGGCAUGUUGCUGUAUGAACGCCGUAGGCAAGUGCAACACAGCGGUAAGCGUUGGUGCAUCUAAACAUAUCUAAACGCAGAAAAGGUGCAGUAAAAAUACGGCAUUAGAGACUUAUGUGACCAUUGUCAUGUAUGUAGUCUGUUGUUGGCUGAAACGUUGUUACGCAGUGCGUGACAGUAUCUUAAAGUUUAACCACAGCAACAUAGUAGCGGUACAGUUUGCCUCAUUUUGCAGCUGCGAAAACUGAUGCUCACAGAGGUCCGAGUCAUCUGCCCAUCGCGAGGGCAGGGCCGGGAUUGGCACCAAGUCAACUUGGGGAAGUUAUUGUUUUGAACUUGACCCUCUUAGGCAGUGGGGCAUCACCGAAGGGCCCAGCAGGAGAGCGAGAGGCUAAAGCAGUGUUUCAGGAGGACUGAUCUGACAGCUGGGGGCAGGGGCGGCCUUGCAAAAACCACAGGAAAACCCCUAAUCCUGCACCUUCCCCAGCAACAGUUGAAGAUCCAUCCUGUGAGUUCUCUCCAGCUGACAGGUGCCUGCAGGAGUUCUGCGCUGCCGAAUGGAUGGACAAGAGAUGUGAAUCUCUCGCCUUCAAAACUGGUUUUUGAAAAUCUGCUUUUACAAAGUUCCUGAGUAAACAGCAGGAGAACCAGCUACAGCCUGGACCAUUUCUCGAGGACAGAGUCCCAUCUCCUGUGACGAUCCCUUCCCCAAAGUAAGGCAGGACACCGAGUCUUGAACUUUGACAUCCUUGCAGUUUUGUUAUCUACCUGCUGCCGCUUUUGUUAUCAACUAAGAGCCAUCAUUAGUUUUCUCUCUUCUUUCCCCUUAAAAUCAGCGAGCCGCUGGCCUGGCUGCCGUCACCCCCUUCUCUUUCUUUGGGAUGCCACGUGUCUCCCUGUUCU